CCUACGGGAGGCUGCAGUGGGGAAUAUUGGACAAUGGGGGGAACGCUGAUCCAGCGACGCCGCGUGAGUGAAGAAGUAUAUAGGUAUGGAAAGCUCUAUCAGCAAGGAAGCAAGAAAUGACGGUACCUGACUAAGAAGCUCCGGCUAACUACGUGCCAGCAGCCGCGGUAAUGCGUAGGGGGCAAGCGUUAUCCGGAUUCACUGGGUGUAAAUGGAGCGUAGACGGCGAUGCAAGUCUGAAGUGAAAGGCUGGGGCCCAACCCCCUGACUGCUUUGGAAACGGUAUGGCUGGAGUGCAGGAGAGGUAAGUGGAAUGCCUAGUGUAGCGGUGAAAUGCGUAGAUAUUAGGAGGAACACCAGUGGCGAAGGCGGCUUACUGGACUGUAUCUGACGUUGAGGCACGAAAGCGUGGGGAGCGAACAGGAUUAGAUACCCCAGUAGUC
rnacentral:rRNA from 1 species